rnacentral:rRNA from 1 species
AGAGUUUGAUCAUGGCUCAGAUUGAACGCUGGCGGCAUGCCUUACACAUGCAAGUCGAACGCGAAAGGGGGCAACCCUGAGUAGAGUGGCGAACGGGUGAGCAAUACAUCGGAACGUGUCCUGUAGCGGGGGACAACCUCGAGAAAUCGAGGCUAAUACCGCAUACGAUCUACGGAUGAAAGUGGGGGACCGCAAGGCCCCACACUAUAGGAGCGGCCGAUGCCGGAUUAGCUAGUUGGUGGGGUAAAAGCCUACCAAGGCGACGAUCCGUAGCUGGUUUGAGAGAACGACCAGCCACACUGGGACUGAGACACGGCCCAGACUCCUACGGGAGGCAGCAGUGGGGAAUUUUGGACAAUGGGCGCAAGCCUGAUCCAGCCAUGCCGCGUGAGUGAAGAAGGCCUUCGGGUUGUAAAGCUCUUUCGGCCGGGACGAAAUGGCGCGGGGUAACAUCCCGCGUCGAUGACGGUACCGGAAGAAGAAGGACCGGCUAACUACGUGCCAGCAGCCGCGGUAAUACGUAGGGUCCAAGCGUUAAUCGGAAUUACUGGGCGUAAAGCGUGUGCAGGCGGUUUCGAAAGUCCGAUGUGAAAUCCCCGGGCUUAACCUGGGAACUGCGUUGGAAACUGCGAGGCUAGAGUGCGGCAGAGGGGGGUGGAAUUCCAGGUGUAGCAGUGAAAUGCGUAGAGAUCUGGAGGAACACCGAUGGCGAAGGCAGCCCCCUGGGUUAGCACUGACGCUCAUACACGAAAGCGUGGGGAGCAAACAGGAUUAGAUACCCCCGUAGUCC